rnacentral:rRNA from 1 species
AGAGUUUGAUCCUGGCUCAGAUUGAACGCUGGCGGCAGGCCUAACACAUGCAAGUCGAACGGUAACAGGAAGCAGCUUGCUGCUUUGCUGACGAGUGGCGGACGGGUGAGUAAUGUCUGGGAAACUGCCUGAUGGAGGGGGAUAACUACUGGAAACGGUGGCUAAUACCGCAUAACGUCGCAAGACCAAAGAGGGGGACCUUCGGGCCUCUUGCCAUCAGAUGUGCCCAGAUGGGAUUAGCUUGUUGGUGAGGUAACGGCUCACCAAGGCGACGAUCCCUAGCUGGUCUGAGAGGAUGACCAGCCACACUGGAACUGAGACACGGUCCAGACUCCUACGGGAGGCAGCAGUGGGGAAUAUUGCACAAUGGGCGCAAGCCUGAUGCAGCCAUGCCGCGUGUAUGAAGAAGGCCUUCGGGUUGUAAAGUACUUUCAGCGGGGAGGAAGGUGUUGUGGUUAAUAACCACAGCAAUUGACGUUACCCGCAGAAGAAGCACCGGCUAACUCCGUGCCAGCAGCCGCGGUAAUACGGAGGGUGCAAGCGUUAAUCGGAAUUACUGGGCGUAAAGCGCACGCAGGCGGUCUGUCAAGUCGGAUGUGAAAUCCCCGGGCUCAACCUGGGAACUGCAUUCGAAACUGGCAGGCUUGAGUCUUGUAGAGGGGGGUAGAAUUCCAGGUGUAGCGGUGAAAUGCGUAGAGAUCUGGAGGAAUACCGGUGGCGAAGGCGGCCCCCUGGACAAAGACUGACGCUCAGGUGCGAAAGCGUGGGGAGCAAACAGGAUUAGAUACCCUGSUAGUCCACGCCGUAAACGAUGUCUACUUGGAGGUUGUGCCCUUGAGGCGUGGCUUCCGGAGCUAACGCGUUAAGUAGACCGCCUGGGGAGUACGGCCGCAAGGUUAAAACUCAAAUGAAUUGACGGGGGCCCGCACAAGCGGUGGAGCAUGUGGUUUAAUUCGAUGCAACGCGAAGAACCUUACCUGGUCUUGACAUCCACAGAACUUUCCAGAGAUGGACUGGUGCCUUCGGGAACUGUGAGACAGGUGCUGCAUGGCUGUCGUCAGCUCGUGUUGUGAAAUGUUGGGUUAAGUCCCGCAACGAGCGCAACCCUUAUCCUUUGUUGCCAGCGGUUAGGCCGGGAACUCAAAGGAGACUGCCAGUGAUAAACUGGAGGAAGGUGGGGAUGACGUCAAGUCAUCAUGGCCCUUACGACCAGGGCUACACACGUGCUACAAUGGCGCAUACAAAGAGAAGCGACCUCGCGAGAGCAAGCGGACCUCAUAAAGUGCGUCGUAGUCCGGAUUGGAGUCUGCAACUCGACUCCAUGAAGUCGGAAUCGCUAGUAAUCGUGGAUCAGAAUGCCACGGUGAAUACGUUCCCGGGCCUUGUACACACCGCCCGUCACACCAUGGGAGUGGGUUGUAAAAGAAGUAGGUAGCUUAACCUUCGGGAGGGCGCUUACCACUUUGUGAUUCAUGACUGGGGUGAAGUCGUAACAAGGUAACC